GGGUGCGAUCAUACCAGCACUAAUGCACCGGAUCCCAUCAGAACUCCGAAGUUAGGCGUGCUUGGGCGAGAGUAGUACUAGGAUGGGUGACCCCCUGGGAAGUCCUCGUGUUGCACCCC
rfam:Erythranthe guttata cultivar DTN x IM62 scaffold_350_contig_5, whole genome shotgun sequence.